rnacentral:tRNA from 1 species
GCUGCGCAGCGACGCGCGGCAGGAUGUUCUUGCCAUUGGAGGUGGCAGCGGCCAGAACGUGGCUGUGGCCGGCGGCCAGUUCGACCACCAGCGGCGCAACG